GACCAUCGUAAAAAUGUUUGCUACUUAACUGCACUCCCUGUGUAGCACACAGGAAGUGCUGUGUGGGACCUGCACAGUGUUUUGAGGACAUGAUUGCCCUCUGUUGCGGAUAGGUUGUCUUUUCAUGGACAGAUUGUUGCUAAUGUUUCUUUAUAGUGGAAUGUGCCCAGGACUAAAAGUUUCACAUAAAUAAAUGGUCACAGUAUGUCCUCACAGUUACUGGUUACUGAUGCGACACUUAGGCAGCUUCAUGGUAGAAUCUGACGAGUUAGCAGGCAGAUACUCUGACUUUUAAACUUACCCGUGUUAGUACGUGAUAUGGACUUUGUACGAAGACCGUGUUUCUUUAGGAUCUCUGGAAAGAGGCAGGUUUGGGUGUCAGUUUGUCCUUUCCUUCCCAUUCUGCAACAAAGAAGAGUCAGUCUGGCACCUCAGGCUGGCAAGGAUGGCACCCACUGCAGCUACCACCCUUGGAGGUCUUUGCUUCUGGAUUGCAAAUGGAGGCGUGUUGUCCGCCUCAUGUUCUCUUGGCCUUUACUGAUGUCUCCAGACUCUAACCUGUCGUCUCUCAGAUCAGAAACAGGGUCUUAGGUAAGCCAGGGCUGGUCUGACCGUAGCUUCUUCGCCCUUCUCUUUCCAUUGGUGCCCUUUGACCCUGUCCUCAAACUUUGUUCAUUAGUUUAAUUAAAUCUUUGCUAACGCUACCCACGUGAAGCCCAGUUCUGGCUCCUGCAAGAAUACAGAAGAAAGCAAUUUGAGAAGACACCAAUGCGCAAAAGCAGAGUCAAUACCAAAAGGUGGCUUGCUCAUAGCUCCCCUGGGCUGAGCCAGAUGGGUUCAGUGGGAGAAUUGACUCACUGUGGGGGUGAGUGGGUCACUACCGAGAGUGUGAAUGGAUGACGUCCACAUUCCAGGACUAACCCCUCGUUUCUUCAUGUAGGAGCAGCUCAGAGCUGAGGAAGGAGAAAUCCCGUGAUGCCGCGAGGUGCCGGCGCAGCAAGGAGACGGAGGUCUUCUAUGAGUUGGCUCAUGAGUUGCCCCUGCCUCACAGUGUGAGCUCCCACCUGGACAAAGCCUCCAUCAUGCGCCUGGCCAUCAGCUUCCUUCGGACACAUAAGCUCCUGUCCUCAGGUAAGGCUUGACAGGUCCUGCCCCAAGCUGGCAUCUACCUAGGCCUCGCUCCAAGACACAUCUACAAAUAUCCACUCACAGAAGCUGGCACAUGGCCUUUAGUGUUACAUUUAUUUAGUUGCGUGUGAGGGUAUGCAUGUGGGUCAGAGGACAGCCUUUGGGAGUCCAUUCUGUUCUCUUCUUCCAUCAUCUGGGAUCUGGGACUUGAACUUGGGUCCUCAGGCUUAGCAGCAAAUGCCUCUAGCCACUGGACCUUCUUGCUGGCCCUGUUCCUUCAUUUUAGCAUCUCCCCUCUGGCAAUGAUCUUCUCAUGAGUUCACCCAGGGAAGAGACCAAGGACAGACUCAAGUGAGAGUGUGAGGUGCUCCCAGAGAGUGUGAGGUGCUCCCAGAGAGUGUGAGGUGCUCCAAGGGGUUGGAGAGCCGAGAGCAGCUUCUCCUGGAAGCCCAUCCAGUACCUCUGGACCUCUGGCGAGAGUCCCGCUCCACACUGUGUUGACUCUGCAGGAAGCCUUUUAUCCUUGUCUUCCAGCUACAUCUCUAGGACAUCAGAAAUGGUGAUGUCCCUUGUGAUCUAUCUCUCAGAACCUUGGUUUCCUUGCCUACAAACUGGAAUUAGCCAGGCAUACUGCCUGGGAGGAUAGGGGUAGGAAAUGGGGGGGGGGGAUUAUUAGGGCACUAUAGGAAUGAGUGGAGACAGCGGCUCAGCUGUAUUCGUUCUUGCUGGGCUAGCCCCCGCCAUAGAGGACAGCCUCGGGCACCUCUCCCUGCUCAGCCGAUGCGUUCUUCUUUCCCGCAUAUCUCUUCACCAACAAACAGUUCAUAACGAAUGCUUUCUUUCCUUUGUCAGAGUUACAUCCCUCAAAAAUCAUUUCCUGUUAGGCCUCACCAGGAAGAGGCAGCCUGGGGUUUCCACUUUCACAUCCUAUGUGCAGUCUUGUCAGACUUAUCAGUUCUGUAAGGAAACUGGGCAGCAUAUAGCUGCCAGGCUGGCACUACAGCAGGGCAGUGUCCGAGGCAUGAGCAAGGGAGGCAGGCAGGCAAGGGGGAAAGAGAUCCCGUGGCUCAUUUUGAGUUUUCCUGAGUGAGUGUGUCACUCUGGAGAUGACUCCUUACAUGGCUAUUCUGGGAAAGAGCCCCCUGCACAGAGGGGUCCAGAAUGAGGCGGGGAAGCCAGACUAGCCUGUGCUAUUCUGGGCCCCUGUGCACAGGAAGGAUAUAUGGGAAAGACCUUCGGAGGUUAGAAUGGCUGCUCAUCCCAUCGUCCUCCUCUAACCCCCAGGCUGGAGGCUAAGCCUGGGCUGCAAGGCUGAGGUGACCGUGCUGUUACAGAAAUGAGCAGAGAGUGGAGAAAGCAAGGGCGGAGCCGCUGCACACACAGCAGGGCAACAGCAAUUACUCAGAUUUAGACGGUGAAAAUGGUUGAGGGAAGCUCAGGCUAAGGACUUGUAAAGCCUGGACUGCUAAAUAAAAAGGCAGACUCGGAGGUGUCUCACCCAUGCCCCAUGCAUGCCUUCAUUUUACAGAGGAUUGUCCUCUUGGAGAAAUGAGGACGACAGUUCGGUGAUUUGUAGGAUUUUGCAAAGCCUGUCAGG
rnacentral:lncRNA from 1 species